rnacentral:rRNA from 1 species
UAUAAUUUACUUGGGUUUAAUAAAGCUUUACGGAUAUCCGUGCUAAUAGCAAAGUUAAUACGUAAGGACUGAUCUCAUUUCAGUUGAUUUUACUAACCUACUGAUUGCAGGGCCCUUGAUGGCCAUCUAAGUGGAUUACUUGUAACUCUUUUGAUCGCUUAUUGCGACAUCCCAUAUAAGUUUCUAACCUAUCAGUUUUCGAUGGUUGGGUAUCGGCCUACCAUGGCAGUGACAGGUAACGGGGAAUUGGGGUUUGAUUCCGGAGAGGGAGCUUGAGAAAUGGCUACUACA